AGUGAACGCUGGCGGUAGGCCUAACACAUGCAAGUCGAACGGCAGCACAGUAAGAGCUUGCUCUUACGGGUGGCGAGUGGCGGACGGGUGAGGAAUACAUCGGAAUCUACUUUUUCGUGGGGGAUAGCGUAGGGAAACUUACGCUAAUACCGCAUACGACCUACGGGUGAAAGCAGGGGAUCUUCGGACCUUGCGCGAUUGAAUGAGCCGAUGUCGGAUUAGCUAGUUGGCGGGGUAAAGGCCCACCAAGGCGACGAUCCGUAGCUGGUCUGAGAGGAUGAUCAGCCACACUGGAACUGAGACACGGUCCAGACUCCUACGGGGGGCAGCAGUGGGGAAUAUUGGACAAUGGGCGCAAGCCUGAUCCAGCCAUACCGCGUGGGUGAAGAAGGCCUUCGGGUUGUAAAGCCCUUUUGUUGGGAAAGAAAAGCAGCAGGUUAAUACCCCGCUGUUCUGACGGUACCCAAAGAAUAAGCACCGGCUAACUUCGUG
rnacentral:rRNA from 1 species